AGCUUGCUUCCUAGAGACCGGCGCACGGGUGCGUAACGCGUAUGCAACCUACCUUUUACAGAGGGAUAGCCCAGAGAAAUUUGGAUUAAUACCUCAUGGUAUAUAUCAUUCGCAUGUUUGAUAUAUUAAAGUUCCAACGGUAAAAGAUGGGCAUGCGUCCUAUUAGCUAGAUGGUAAGGUAACGGCUUACCAUGGCAACGAUAGGUAGGGGUCCUGAGAGGGAGAUCCCCCACACUGGUACUGAGACACGGACCAGACUCCUACGGGAGGCAGCAGUGAGGAAUAUUGGACAAUGGGCGCAAGCCUGAUCCAGCCAUGCCGCGUGCAGGAAGAAGCAUCUAUGGUGUGUAAACUGCUUUUGUACGGGAAGAACACUCCUUCGUGAAGGAGCUUGACGGUACCGUAAGAAUAAGGAUCGGCUAACUCCGUGCCAGCAGCCGCGGUAUACGGAGGAUCCAGCGUUAUCCGGAUCAUUGGGUUAAGGUCCGUAGCGGUUGGUAGUCAGUGGUGAAGCCGCAGCUCAACUGUGGACGGCAUUGAUACUG
rnacentral:rRNA from 1 species